GAUGAACGCUGGCGGCGUGCCUAAUACAUGCAAGUAGAACGCUGAAGGAGGAGCUUGCUCUUCUGGAUGAGUUGCGAACGGGUGAGUAACGCGUAGGUAACCUGCCUGGUAGCGGGGGAUAACUAUUGGAAACGAUAGCUAAUACCGCAUGACAACAGUUAUUGCAUGAUAACUGUUUAAAAGGGGCAACUGCUCCACUACCAGAUGGACCUGCGUUGUAUUAGCUAGUUGGUGAGGUAACGGCUCACCAAGGCGACGAUACAUAGCCGACCUGAGAGGGUGAUCGGCCACGCUGGGACUGAGACACGGCCCAGACCCCUACGGGAGGCAGCAGUAGGGAAUCUUCGGCAAUGGACGGAAGUCUGACCGAGCAACGCCGCGUGAGUGAAGAAGGUUUUCGGAUCGUAAAGCUCUGUUGUAAGAGAAGAACGAGUGUGAGAGUGGAAAGUUCACACUGUGACGGUAUCUUACCAGAAAGGGACGGCUAACUACGUG
rnacentral:rRNA from 1 species